CAUGAUGUCAAUUAGAGUUGUUAUUUCUAAGCAAUAGAAUUGUAGGUUUUUUUUCCUUUUUAAUAGAUUUCCAAAAAUAUUCUUCAAUGGCUAUGUAUUACUUUUAUAAUUAAGAAGUUAAAGUCCUGUGAGGUCAUUUCAGAAAAUAAUCAUUACUGUGAUGAUUUUUCAGUCUUUCCAGUGUCAGCCUGCCUUUAGCUAAGAUAAUUCCAAUAGUAAACGGACAGAUCCAUUCAGUUUGCAGUGAAACACCUAGUCAUUUUGUUCAGGGCAGCCUUGAACAUACCAGAAAGCAAUAGGAAAAAACUGGAGAAAGUGAAAAUGCUGCGAUGAAGGAAAAGAGGAGACAAACAAGGGUGACAUUGGCUGGGCAGCAAAGAUGACCAAAAGGCCAAGAAGCCUGUGCUGUUCCAGUAUUGAUCCGGCGCUCCUCCAUCACCAUCCGACCACAGAACCUCAGGCUGAUAGUUGUUCACUAACUCAUAGAGCUCUGGCAAUGUCUUAGAAACUGGAAAUUGCCGCUUAUGGAAUGAACUGGAUUCAUCCUCAAGGAAGAGAGGAUGAAACCAUUCAAAAAGGGAAUAGUACAGUCCAAAACGCAGGUUCUGACUCUGUCACCCAGGCUGGAGUUCAGUGGUGCGACCUUGGCUCACUGCAUCCUCGACCUCCUGGGCUCAAGUGAUCCUCACACCUCAGCCUACCAAGUAGCUAGGACUACAGCUUGGGAAAGUUCCUAGACAUCAGGAAAUCAGCAUGUUCUCAAGCAAAUACACUUGAUAGACAUUCAUCUCAGCAGGAUAAAUAUCUACAGGAGAAAAUCAUGAAGCUACUGGAAUGUGGCCAAAGGGAAAAAUAUCCUAUGAUCAUUCCAGAUUUUUUGUGUUGGUUCUCCUCUCCUAUUCCCAUCCUGUCCCUGGAGAAAACAAUAAGGCAAAGUUUCCUUUUUUUUUUUUGAGACAGGAUCUCCCUCUGCCACCUAGACUGGAGUGUAGUGACUCUAUCUCCACUCAAUGCAGCCUCAAGCAGUCCUCCAACCUAAGCCUCCCAAGUAGCUGGGACUACAGAGACACACCACCACGCUAAUUUUUUAGGUUUUUUUGUUUGUUGGUUUGUUUGUUUGUUUUUGUAGAGACAGGGUCUCACUAUGUUGCCCAGGCUGGUCUUGAACCCCUGGGCUCAAAUGAUCCUCCUUCCUCGGCCUCCCAAAGUUUUGGGAUUACAGGCAUGAGCAACCGCAUCCAGUGCAAAUUUUUUUAUACCAAGGCAAAGAUGAUCAUGCAAAAGAAACCAAUGAAUGAACAAGCAGUUGGAACAAAAACAAUUUGUUAAUGCUUCCCUGGCCUUACAAAUACUGGAGUGGUAAUGGGUGGAAUCCAUUCUAUUAAAAUAGGACUACUAUGUGGGGGUUUAGAUAUUCUUCUACCACCUCUGAUUUUUCUGGAAACCAUUACAGUUCCACAAUCCUUUUCCCUCCAGGUGAUCUGGGUCACUUUCAUCACUGUCAGUUCAUCCACUAUUUGCACCAUUUGGCCAUCUAAGAGUUGGCAAAAAGUGCAGCCAGGUGUAUCGUAAUGAUGCAAGACUAUAGCAGUAUAACCCCCAUGAUGCAUUCACAGGAUGCAUUACAGAGAAAGGGAAGGAAAGAGUGCAAUUCCAAUGAUGAACUUUGACUUGCAACCCACACUCCCUUCAACAAACAGCUUUAAGUAAAUCUUGGAAAUAUUAUUCAAAAUACAUGUGACAAAACGUGACCAUCUUUCGUCUGUUAUGUGGAGGGUAUGAUCCUUUCUGUAUUCCUAACAUCUCUCAAUUUGGGUUGAACUUGCAGUCCCUAAGUUAUAAGCAAGUGCCAGUCACCACUUAUGGUUGCUCCUAAGAGAAAAUUAGACCUUGCUUUAGUUUUUUCUUCCAAAAAAACAACUUUUCAUUUCUUAACCAUUGUCAUCAAUUUCCAUAGGCUGGAUUGACUUACCUUCAUGAUGUUUGGAAGUUAACACAAUGUAUUUGGCACCAGAGGCCUGAAAAAUAUCUGCCCACUGGUUGGCAUUAAAAAAUUUUGCUGU
rnacentral:sRNA from 1 species